rnacentral:lncRNA from 1 species
UGCAUCCUUCAAGGUAUCCUCCUUGGUUCUGAUACUCCACAGCCUCCACUUGGAUCCCAGACUCCCAUAUUUACCCGUAGUCUAGCUACGUAUCUAUCCCAUAGUCGCUUGUAUCCGGUUGUGCCCAUACUGCGGCUCCACAGCUGCCUGUCUCCCCAACUGCACCUAUGCCAUGAUACACCACAUUCUAUCUCCAGGGCCAUGUCUGUGCCACAAUUCCAUAGCCGCCUGUCUCCGACCAU